AGCAGCCGCGGUAAUUCCAGCUCCAAUAGCGUAUAUUAAAGUUGUUGCAGUUAAAAAGCUCGUAGUUGAAUUUCGGGAUCAAGGAAUCGGUCAUGCCUCGGUAUGUACUGGUUUUAUUGGUUCUCACCUUCUAAAGAACCAUGAUGUCAUUCAUUUGAUGUUAUGGGGAAUUAGGACUGUUACCUUGAAAAAAUUUAGAGUGUUUAAAGCAGGCUUACGCUUGAAUACAUUAGCAUGGAAUAAUGAAAUAGGACAUCAGAUUCUAUUUUGUUGGUUUCUAGGAUCGAUGUAAUGAUUAAUAGGGAUAGUUGGGGGCAUUAGUAUUCAAUUGUCAGAGGUGAAAUUCUUGGAUUUAUUGAAGACUAACUACUGCGAAAGCAUUUGCCAAGGAUGUUUUCAUUAAUCAAGAACGAAAGUUAGGGGAUCGAAGACGAUCAGAUACCGUCGUAGUCUUAACCAUAAACUAUGCCGACUAGGGAUCGGAUGAUGUUAAUUUUUUUAAUGACUCAUUCGGCGCCUU
rnacentral:misc_RNA from 1 species